rnacentral:rRNA from 1 species
UACGAAGGGGGCUAGCGUUGCUCGGAAUUACUGGGCGUAAAGGGCGCGUAGGCGGACGGCUUAGUCAGAGGUGAAAGCCCAGGGCUCAACCUUGGAAUUGCCUUUGAUACUGGCCGUCUAGAGUUCGGGAGAGGUGAGUGGAAUGCCGAGUGUAGAGGUGAAAUUCGUAGAUAUUCGGCGGAACACCAGUGGCGAAGGCGACUCACUGGCCCGGUACUGACGCUGAGGCGCGAAAGCCAGGGGAGCGAACGGG